rnacentral:lncRNA from 1 species
CUUAAUGCAGUGGUUUGCUUUGCUUUGUCUUGACCAAAAGACAGUAAACAAAUGGAUAAGGAAAGGAAUGGUUUAUUAAUGCUCCUUUGACAUAGAUAGUUACUUGGAGAGUUUUAACACAUUAUCAGCAUGACUAGAUUUGUGUAAAAAAAGAUUGUUAGUGGUUUGCAUAGCAUAAUUUUUAUGAGAUUAUCUUAUCCAUUAAUAACAGAUUUUUCAUUUUCUUUCUAGAUGACAUCUGCUGAAAUUGGUACUUCUGUAUCUACAAAGAUGCCCAGAAGGAGUAGAGCAAUUUGUAAGCCUGAGAUGCCUAACGUUACCAGGACUACAAGAAAAAGGCAAAGCAGAAAGAAGUUACAACCAGAUCCAGUCUGUGAAGCCCAGAGUGAAGAUAUUUCUGAUGCAGAGUCUUGCUGUUUUCAUAUGGAACAGCCCAUUACUACCAAACGACUUACUAGGAGCAUGCAAAUGAAAGCACAAGCAGAAAAUAAUGAGGAAGUAAACAGAAUUGUUUCAGAAAAUGAUAAUUUAAUUGAGGACACAGUUAAAUCUGAUCCAUUAGUAAUUUCUGAUUCUAGACCUGCUCCACAAUUAGUCUCUGACAACAAAGAUGCUUCCUCUGUCACCGCACAUAAUAAAGAAUCCAGUUCAUCUACAAGCAAAUGUUCUUCCAAAUCUGCUAAUGCAACCGUAAAUGAAGAUGUGAAACAAGACUUUUUGAAUGAUAUAACACCCAGUAGUCUUAAAAAAAUGAAACAAAGUAGUAAUACUGAAUCGCCCAGAAAAAAAACAAUAAAAGAUGCACAAAUUCUUGGGGUAGAUGAUUCAGAAGAAGAAUGUGACAAAAUUCAGGAAGAGCACAGUAAAAUACUCGUGAGGGGAGUGAAAUUAAAGAAUAUGGAUCUUUGUUCAACUGAUUGCAUGAGUCCCAAACAAUUGUUAGAAUCCAAAGGGCAAGUAACAUCAAAUGAAAGUAAAAAAGUUCCAGAAUACAAAAGAAUAGAUGCUGAGGCAGCGGUAGAGAGGUCUUUUGCCCAUGCAAGUGAAUUAAGAAAGGAUGAACAAUCUAGUGCAGUGAGCAGCCCACGAGAGGCAUGCACCUGUUACACAAAUAACUGACAGCGUUGCUGGUAGAUGUAGGAAUGCUUGAAAUCAGUGUGGACAGUGGCUGAAGACCAAACAGGAGAAUAUGCUGAUUCUGUAUCCCACAGCAGUGAAAGAUCAAGCAGUGGAAAUAAUUCCCUUACAUUGUUUCUGAGCAAAGAUGAAAGCGAUGAAUCUGAAAAUAGUGAUGUGGCAGACACAGAUACAGUGGAAGAGAGUAAGAGUUACAUGGAGGCAGAUGAAAGGACUCCUUCCAUGACCAAACCUUUAAAAAAGAAUUCACUGCAUGUUGAAGGGCUUUUUGUGAUUGAUACUGAGCCUGGCAUGGGUUCCAACCAAAAGUAUUAUCUAGAUCAGGUAGACCAAGCUAGUGAUGUUGAAAGUAAAUAUGAAGGAAAUGAAAAAGUUGAAGAAUCCUCAGAUCUAGAAGAGGCUGAAGAAGAACUGAUAGAUGAAGAUGAGAAAGAUGAAGAUGAUGAUUUAUUGAAAAAUAAAAUUGAUGUGUAAGUAUCUUUCUGGGAGUAACUAAGAAAAUCUGCAUUAUAUUUGAGCAUAUUCACAUGACAUGCAUUAUGUGCUCAGUGACAUAGAAAAAACUGAGGGAGUAGUGUUGUCAUAGAUGUGGAAAUGGAUUGCUCAGAUUAUCAGAGUUAUAAUUCAGUUAUUUUUUCAGGUUUACGUGGAGCAGAACAGAAGUGUCAGAAAUAUUUAGGUAUCUUGAAGCCUUGUAUGUGUUUAGCAUUAAAAAAAAUAAAAAUGUGAAACUGGCUUAAACUGGUCAGGCUGACUUAAUUGCUGUUUCAGAGCAAAGGUUUUUAUUUAUUUAAAUUGAGGGGGGUAUAAAUAAUGGAAGUCUAAUAAAUCACUUGCAUGUUAUUUAAUUAGGUCAAGCUUUUUAAUCCUAAACAUGUGCAUAAGCUUUUACCGUUUACAGUUCUUGUUUUCACAGGAUGGCUCAGGGAAGAUAUAGAUUGUGACAUUGUAACACCUCAAGCAAAAACAGCCCAGCCUAAAAUUACAGAAUAAUUUAGGCUGGAUGGAACCUCUUAAACUCAUUUAGUCCAACUCCCUGCUAAAGCCCCUUUACAUGCUUCGUGUGUUUAAAGCAUAAUACUCUGUUUAGGUCUGAUAAAUUUAAGGCUUACUCUUCUAAGAAACAUUCAGGUGGGUCAGAAGUCUUACAAAAGACAGGUAUUCUGUGUAAAGGUGUUACAGAUUAUUAGUUCAUAACGUAUAUAAACAUUCAAGCUACAAUAAAUACCAGAUACCAGUUUAGAUG